rnacentral:rRNA from 1 species
GACGAACGCUGGCGGCGUGCUUAACACAUGCAAGUCGAACGAAGUGGCGAACGGGUGAGUAACGCGUAAUCAACCUGCCCUUCAGAGGGGUACAACAGUUGGAAACGACUGCUAAUACCGCAUACUGAAGGAGGGGAUUGCGUCUGUGUAGCUAGUCGGAGGGGUAACGGUCCACCAAGGCGAUGAUCAGUCGCCGGGCUGUGAGGAGUAACGGCCACAUUGGGACUGAGAAAAGGCCCAGACUGCUACGGGAGGCCGCAGUGGGGAAUCUUCCGGAAUGGACGAAAGUCUGACGGAGCAACGCCGCGUGAGUGAUGACGGCCUUCGGGUUGUAAAGCUCUGUUAAUCGGGACGCGGUACCGGAAUAGAAAGCCACGGCUAACUACGUGCCAGCAGCCGCGGUAAUUC